rnacentral:rRNA from 1 species
GUGUACAGCUAUACCACCCUGAACGUGCCCAAUCUCAUCUGAUCGCGAAAGCUAAGCAGGGUUGGGCCUGGUUAAUACUUGGGCGGGAGAUUUAUAUC